rnacentral:rRNA from 1 species
AACGCGAAGAACCUUACCCAGGCUCGAAAUGUAAUAGACGUAACCAGAGAUGGUUAUUUCCGCAAGGACUGUUAUAUAGGUGCUGCAUGGCUGUCGUCAGCUCGUGCCGUGAGGUGUUUGGUUAAGUCCAGCAACGAGCGCAACCCUUAUCAUUAGUUGCCAACGCGUCAAGGCGGGGACUCUAGUGAGACUGCCCGGGUUAACCGGGAGGAAGGUGAGGAUGACGUCAAGUCCGCAUGGCCUUUAUGUCUGGGGCUACACACGUGCUACAAUGGUCGGUACAGAAGGCAGCAAGACCGCAAGGUGGAGCAAAUCCGUAAAGCCGAUCACAGUUCAGAUUGUAGUCUGCAACUCGACUACAUGAAGUUGGAAUUGCUAGUAAUGACGUGUCAGCAACAACGUCGUGAAUACGUUCCCGGGCCUUGUA